ACCCUCCUUACAGGGUCCUCCAGACAGGAGCCUAUACCAGACCCAGACUGACAACAGCGCUACACCAGAGGUAGGGGUGUACCAGUGGUACUGAUGUAAGCCACUCGAACGCUGACCCUGACUUCCAAACAAGGCAUCAAUCUGAUUACAGACAAUUGUUGCUGAGGCAUAUGAUGUGGUACGGACUGACGUAGAUGUAAACACUCGAUGUCCUUCAUCCAGUUCAGUGAGUGAAGACCAAGGUGCCAAACUCUUCACCAACAGCGGCAGCUGUACAUACCUCAGUAUGUCAAUACCUGGCCCAACCUUUAUACACUCAAAAGAUUACUUUGUUCAAAGAAAGCUAAAUAUGUUAAAGACUUGUCAAAAUUUAUUAAAUGUAUCAAUAGAAGUUUAGAUAUAAAUACAUGUAAUUAAAUGUUUGUAUCAUUCUCUAAUG